rnacentral:rRNA from 1 species
GAUGAACGCUGGCGGCGUGCCUAAUACAUGCAAGUCGAGCGAACGGACGAGAAGCUUGCUUCUCUGAUGUUAGCGGCGGACGGGUGAGUAACACGUGGAUAACCUACCUAUAAGACUGGGAUAACUUCGGGAAACCGGAGCUAAUACCGGAUAAUAUUUUGAACCGCAUGGUUCAAAAGUGAAAGACGGUCUUGCUGUCACUUAUAGAUGGAUCCGCGCUGCAUUAGCUAGUUGGUAAGGUAACGGCUUACCAAGGCAACGAUGCAUAGCCGACCUGAGAGGGUGAGCGGCCACACUGGAACUGGGACACGGUCCAGACUCCUACGGGAGGCAGCAGUAGGGAAUCUUCCGAAAUGGGCGAAAGCCUGACGGAGCAACGCCGCGUGAGUGAUGAAGGUCGUCGGAUCGUAAAACUCUGUUAUUAGGGAAGAAAAUAUGUGUAAGUAACUGUGCACAUCUUGACGGGACCUAAUCAGAAAGCCACGGCUAACUACG